rnacentral:lncRNA from 1 species
GGGCGGGGGCGGGGGCCCGCUCUGGGCCGUUUGUGGCCUGCUCUGCCUGCUUUCCUACCGUAAUAUGCUGCUUUGAACUUUAUUCCCCAAAGUGGCAUUGUCUCCUUUCUCAUAUUGGUAAUUCUGUAAUGACUGGUUAUGACCCGCCCCCUCCCCCAUAUUUAAUUCUCAUCAGCCCAGCUCUCCACUUUGCUAUUAAUGAUAGCAGCCAGCAAAAUAGCUUUCAACAUGCCAUUGACAGUCUGGUUUAAGAGAGCACUUGAAGUAGUGCUAGACAGCUGAAAGCACCCAUAAUUGUGUACCAGAGUGAGAACUGCGUGCUCAAGGGCCUUGUUUUUAUAUGCUUAAAGGGACAAUAUCUUGUUUUCAACAAAUGCUCUCUGAGACUCACAGCCAAGAUGCUUUCUUCCUUUUUCCUUUUCCUUUCUUCUUUUGGCUUUCUCUUCUCCUUCAAAAUACAUAUUUAAAAAAAAUUCUUUAUAAAAUAAUUGUUCCCUUCAAGUUGGGGUUAAGGAGAAACUUAAGGAAGGGGGAAACGUCCUGCCGCCAUGUAAGCGGGGAAUAUUUGGUGGGUUUGUUGUUUUGAAGCAUCGUCCUUUGCAGGCAGCAAGCUGUGGGUCAGCCUUGCCCUACUGAGGGUCCUUAGGACCUUGCGUUUCUCAAGGAGGUAAUGGGAGAGUCUGAAUUCGCAUCAGCAUUGAUUUUGAAUUCUUUUCUUUGCUAAGGAUGUUGCACAAUCAGUGGGCUGCAGAGCUGUCACUGUGAAUGUUUAGGCAGAGGCCACCUUUUGGGGGAGGGCUGGAGGAGAGGGGUCACCGUGUUGGAGAGUCAGGCCAUGACCGCUAAGGAAUCAGAUUCUAGGAGGCUGUUUGCUGCAGAGUUGAUGGCCCAAGAGGCCCGUCUGGAAAUCAACAGGGUGGGUGGGGCAAGGACUUGUAUUCUUAAGUACAGGUUCACACCAGGCUUGGAGGGUUAACCAGGGGGCCCGGCUAGUCCACCCGGCAGAUUUUAUCUGAGAACAAAUACUUUUCUCCCCUUCACACCAGCCGACUUCAUUAUUGCUUUGAAAAUGCAGUCCUUUGGAAGAGGUUUCCUUUGCCUCUCUGUCACCAAAGCCUCCCAUUGCCAAUGUGUCCUGUGAAGGGAGAAGAGAGAAGCAACUUCCCAUCUGUGGGGCCUGAGAGGCCAGGGAAACCCUGUUGGGGCCUGAAGUCUAUGUUGUCCUGUUCUCUCCCAGGCUGGCUGCUCUUGGUAAAGGGUAGGAGCAUGGAUGGGCUUGGCUCGUGUGUCUUAGGUGGUUCCUUCCAUCACCCACUGUGUGAAGGAUAGGAUCCAGUGUUCUGGCUGCUGCCACCACCAAAUAAUCCCAGGGGAAGUACUUUCCAGAGGACAAACUGUUUGAAAAAUUUGAUCUUCCAGAUAUUAUAGAUUAUAAUGCUACGGCCUCUUAGAAUUUCUGUAGCACUUGAUUGCAAAGCAGAUUCGACAUUUUCAUCUUAGCAGCUAAAAUAAUGGGUAUUUGGGUCCAGGACAGACAGACACCAGGAUAAAAGCAUCAGAGCAUACCCUGAAAGCUUGGGGUGUGAAGAUGACCUGUGUACUAGAGGGCUGUGUUCUCAAAUUGGGGUUGGGGAGGUGAGGCCUGUGCUGUGACAGGACUGUGAGUUCCGUGAGGGACAGGACCAUUUUGUAUUUGUUUUCACUAAGGGUCCUGAACCCUGAGCAGUGCCUGGCCCAUACUGGAUACACAGUGUGCAUUUUGUGGGGACUCAAGGAAGGAAGGUAAUAUUCCAGCUCAGGGUUCUCUCUGACCCUGAAUAGUGUUAUGGACUCUUUGGGAAGGAUAGAAGCUUUCUUAGUUUUCUGACAGAGGCCUGUAGGCUGCAAACGUUGUGUUUGUAGAAAGAGUUGUAAAGGUGUCAUGAGCCUUUAUUUAAAAGUGUCUUUAAUGUAUCUUAGGCAUCUUUUUCUUUUCAUCUAACACUAUGGACAGUUUAAGUGCAAAAGGGGAAGAAGGCAGGGUGGGGGUGCGAAGAGAUAACUGGGAGGAAGAGAUGACAAAGCAGAGAUGCGGAAGAGACAAGUGCUGAGUGGGUGAAUUGGUAAACUCGGCUUGCCAUGCCUUGGCUGUUUGGGCAUGGAGUUCCAAGUGUUGUGGCCUUAUCUCAUGAGCCUUUUAAGUUUGACUAUUGUUCACAGUUCUUCUACUGCUUUUUUUGUUUGUUAAUUUUGAAUGAAAACUACCGCAGGCCGAUAGAAGUUUCUUUUUCGUUUGCGCUGGAAGGCUGACCCUUUCCUCAAGUGGAGACCCAAAUGCAGAAGAGCUCUUCCCACUAGUGUUUUAGCACUGAAUACCAAAUGCAAUUUGGGUACAGGAGAGGGCUCUCCCUUCCUGGUCAGCCAUGAAGACUUGAGGUUUAGACUCCACCACCCUGCCAGCUAUAUGACCAAAAGGUUGGAGGAGGCGGCCUUUCACCCACUUCCCAAAUCUUUCCCUUGGGCUAGCCCUCGACAGGUCUUUGCUGAGUUUGGAUCUGAAACUGAUUAAUUCUGAUAAUACUGGCAGGGGCAUGCUUUGGAACCGGUGAUGCUUUGUGAUUUCUGCUGGGGAAAAUGAGAAGAGGAAGGCAGUUCAGUGCAGACUAGUGGACAAGGGAUGGGAGUCCAUUCUAGCUCUCUGGUGGGGGUGAGGUACAAGAACUUCUAUUAACCUUCCUGGCCUCUGUCCAGGAAGAAGUAGGACACUCAGAGGGCUCAGAAGCAGCAGGUGAUGCCAGAUGGUCUGGAGUGAGGGUCUAACUGGUCGGGUGGGAUAGAGGAAGGAGGAGCAGGGGAGACAGAGGAAGUGAGCCUGUUGGCACUGAUUGGUCAAUAGGUCUUCAGCUCAUCCUUAAACCCUUACCUGCUUCUUUUCCUAGAAGGAGGCCCCUUCCUCUGAUCUCUCUCUCCAGUGAAGAAAGCUGAAGUCCAGUUCUUAUUUUGCUUUGCCUAACAACAGAAGUCCUGGGGAAAGACAGGAAGAAUUGAGAUUGAUGGUACAAUCCCUGUCUCCCAUCCCUCAAUCGCUGGGUUUUCAUACUUUAUCCCAGAGAAAUGGGGGAUCUCCAUGAAGCCAGACUUGAAAUGGGGGAGAAGCAGCCUGGUUUAGAGCUCGAAAGACAUGCCCCUCUCCUGCAGGGUCCUGCUGCUGUUGGCCUGGUGUCGGUCUCCAUGUCACCCAGUCCUUGUGUGUGGCAGGCACCCACAGGCCUGGUCUGCAGGAACUUGAGAAGUGUCUAGAUACCCCUUUCUCUUAGCCUUUUGGGUUUUCUCACUAUUCUUUUACCUGGUUUUUUACCUUACUUCUCAAGAGACCCCUACCCAGCUCUUCCUCACUAUCCAUUUGCCCAGGGAUAUUGGGCAAACUCCCUUUUUAAACUCCCAGGAUGUUGAAUGCCCAUUGGGCCUACUGGAUGAUGGAUGGGGUGGGUUCCCAGCAAGCCAGUUUUUCUUGGCCAGUGGAUUCCCUUUCUCCCUCAGAAGAUCACAAGUUCUUGCCGGGUGAUCCUGGAGAGUUAGGUAUAGAGCACCAGAAGCUGGGAGAUUUGUCUUCAUGGCUAAGAGGUUGGCUUUGGAGUCAGACAAAUGUGGGUUUGAGUCCCAGAUCAGUUCAUGUUGGUGUGUGACUUUGAGCAGACUGUUUGACCUCUGUGAUCUUCAGUUUGCAGUGGAGAUAAUAAUAACACCUGCCUGUUGCGGCAGUGCUGUCCAGUAGAACUUUCUUCAGUGAUGGAAAUGCUGUAUGUCUGCACUCUUCAGUAAGGCAGCCACCAGCCACGUGUGGCUCUUAAGCACUUGAAAUAUGGCUACUGCGACUGAGGAACUGAGUUUGAAAUUUAAUUUUAAUUAAAUUUAGCUAGCCACGGGUGGCUGGUGGCUUCAUAAAUUGUACAGUUACAGUUAUAGGGAGUGCCAUGAAGGAUGCAUAUAGCCUGCUUAGCACAAAACCUUGCACAUGGAAAGGCCGAAGCAAGGUAUUCUCACAAGGGGACAGAGUCCCCAAAUUGUCAAGGCCUCAGACAUAGAGGACAAGAUCCUUGGUGUUGCAUAUGUUGUAAGAUUUCUCAGAGCCCUUUCCCAUAUGUGACUUGUUGGCUCUACGGUCCUGCAGUGUAGGCACCGUGGGCGCCACGCAUCAGAUAGCAGCACUGACGGUUAAAGAGGUUGAGUAACUUGCUCAUUGUUGCACAGCAGACCAGUGGCCAAUUCAGAACUGGAAACCAGGCCUGCUUCCCUCGUGGACCUCAGUGAUCUUUAUCCAUAGGCUAUAUCAAGAUGAGGUCUUCUGUGGUCUUCCCACAUGUCUACCCCCAGACCACCAUACUACAGGCAUCAGUUCCAGUGCUGGGAAGAAACCAGAUGAAACCUUUCAGAAUUCAGUAAAACAUGAGCAUCAGCCACAUGUGGAUCAGGGAUUGCCACCCUGGGCGCUGUUUACAUUUGGGACUGGAUAAUUUUUUGUGGUGGGAUUGUCCUCUGUGUUUAGGAUGUUUAACAGCAUUUCUAAUCUCUACCCACUAGUUGUUGUUAUCAGUGCCCAAGUUGUAACAUCCAAAAAUGUCUCUAGACAUUGCCAGAAUCCCUUGGGGGAAACAAUUACUAUUGGUUGAGAGGCCUUGUUAUAGAGGAAGGAGUCUGGCUCUAACCUGGGAGAUUUGCUUACCACCUGGUCUUCCUGUGUGGUCUUCCUGUGUGACAGCUUCUUGCCCUCUCUGGGCCUCAUUUGACUCAUCUGUAAAAUGAGAGAUCAAAUGGUGUGGCUUGGGAGGAGGUCAGUUUGAGAAGGAGCAUAUCAUAUAAAAUAAGUUUCUAAAUGACCGAUCUUGAUUUUUAUAGCCUAAGAAAUGCCAUCACUCCUGCCUUCCUUAUUUGGAGAAAGAAGACCCUCUAACCCUUUUUAUUUUAAUUUACGGAACAGGAAGCCCGGUAGAUGGAAACUGAAAGUCUGAGGAAUGAAACUCUUUAGAGUCCUAAAGCCAGGAGGGACUUGAGCUGUCAUCUGGGCCCUGUGGUGUCUGCCUCCAAGUCUCUGUUGGGUCUCCAUGGAAUGCUCCCAAGGGCAGGGCACUCACACAGCACCUAAUUCAUUUUUGAGAGCUCCGAUUAUUACACUGGACUCAGAUUGGACUUCUUUAUUCGGAAACUGAGGCCCAAGUGCAGGAUGGAUCUGGGCUAGGAAUGCAGGACUCUAGACUGUAUGUUGCUACCUGUUUCUGGGGUUGGGUUGCCUGGAUGCAUGCUAGCUUGGCCUAACCAUCCCCAGUUCCCUUACACUGUAGACCCCUGGAAGAAAAGAGGAGGUGGGAUUCCUUUCAGGGAAGUGUGCAGAAGGGUCGUCCCAACCCCAGCAACCCCAGAGUCCCUUGCCGUUGAUCGGUCCUAGCUGGGGAAGGGUGAGUGUGUUUCCUCCUCCCUGCCCUGGCUCCUCACUGUCAUCCUCACCCGCCUGUGAAGGGUACAGGGGCUGGUGCCCAGAGUGUCCUCACAGGCCGGCUCAGGCCAGCAUCCCCUUCCCUUCCGGAGGAGACAGAUCCUCAGGGUCACGCUGAGGGGGGCUGGGCCUUUCUUGUACCAAGUCCUCCCAGCAUAAAGAAUUCAGCAGGCUUCCUCGGAGGGCAUAAAUAUUUAAUGGCGUUGUAGUUAUAUAUAAUUUGAUCAAUAUGUCAGUGCUAAAAGGGCCUUUAAGAAGGCUCACCUGUCAUUGAGUGAUCUGUGAUGUGAACCUUCACCAGCCCCUCCAGUAGCGGGAGGGGCUACAUUUCCCAAGGCUGCUGCAUAGAUCAUUUGUUGACCCUCCUCCCCUUCUUACAUUGUAGCACUGCUUCCCCUCAGAGCCCAUGGCGUGGAUGGAGCAGGGCCUGAGAACCCCACCCCAGCUUUUGUUGGCUGUCCCCCGGCCCCCCCAUGGAUUUCUUCCUCUGUUGAUAAAACACCCACUUGUUUUAUUUCAGUGUUCUCUGAGCUCGGCCUAAGGAGAAACUACCUGGCAAGGACUAUCCUCUUUUAGUCACAUCAUUGAGAGGCUAUCCAUUUAGUAUUGCCUAGGAAAUGCAAUGGGAUAUUUUAAGUUAAAAUUGCCCAGACGUGGUAUUCUGAAUCUGGGUGAUUGGCGCCUGGCUGCUGGGAGGCUGCUGGGAAGGUUGGGGCCAGGGCCACCUCUUUCUGCACAGCCUCCCACCCCAGCCUUUCCCUGCAGCUCUGGGAUUUAAAUCAAGAUGAAGCAGACUCUCUUCAAACUCCAAGGACUCAGUCAGAGAAGUAGGUAAAACCUGAUUAAAAUUUAAGAACCUCAGAGCUGACUGAGAUGACACCCCCAAACACACACAUUUUCUAGAGGAGUAACCUGAGACCCAGAGGCCUGCUGGGAUGAAAAUCGUCACUUCCCCAUGGCUUUGCAAUGUAAUUCACCUUUCAAAUGGGCAGGUCCCUUCCUCAUCUCAUCUUUCACACACAUCCGCAAACUGGUCUCAGACUCACAGUACCAUGCUCUUUGCAUGACACUGCCCUGAUUUUCCGAAGAAGAAAUCCUCAUUUCACAAAUGUAACUAGAAGCCUAGUAGCAUGGGAUGGCCGCUUGCCUGUCUCACAGACGUGGAAUUACUUCCCGCUGAAUGCAACAACUUGGAGAACCCUGGCCUGGUUGUCUUAGCCUCACCAACCAGUCUUCCCUUUUGAAUCACAGAAACUGCACAGUAGGGGCUUGACACUUAGAAGUAUGAUAUCAUUGUUCUUGCCUAGAGGCUCUUCCACAGUGAAGCGCAGUUUUGCUGAUGGACAGAUUUGAAUGGCUCGUGCUCUGAAGACUGGUCCUUGGGACCCAGCCCAGGUCAGCCAGCUGCCCAGCAACCAGCCAGCAUCCAUCCACAUCUCAAGGUGGCUUGGCUCUUCUCUGCUGGUCUUUUGUAAAUUCAUGUGAUGCUCUGUUUUAUGGAGGAAAUGAUAAGCUGCACGCCAAUUCGGGAAUAUUUAGGGUUCUAAAACUCUAAAUUAGGGCUCCUGGAUCUUAUACGUUAUCUAGUUAAUCCCUUCAUUUUGCAGACAACGAAAUUAAUGCCUAGAGAAGGGAAGUGAUUUGCCCAAAGCCACACAACUAAAUGGAGGCAGAAUUGGAGGUAGAAGCCAGCUCAUCUCUGCGUGGCGUUGGAGCAUAACACACUCUUUGAAGGGGCAGUUUUCUCUUCUCCUUGCCUUUAUUUGGCUGAGGUUAAAAGGAAUUGUGCAUUCAGAGUCCACAGGUACACACGACAGGGCAGUUUAAAACUAACUAGCAGACAGACUCUCUGGUGGAAGUAGCUCUCGACGGUGUGUUGGACACAGUCACCUAAAUUAAAAAUAAGGGCAAGGACUGGCUGGGUGCUGCAAGCCCAGGAGCAGGAGGUUGCUGGGGGGUACAGAUCAAGAGCAGGCUCCGUUUCCCUUAAUUUAGUGUCUUGGGUCAAGGGCCAAGGAUAGUCUGAAGUAGCAGCAAACGUGAAUACUAGACUGUGGUUAGAGAAAUAGACUUUUAGAAUGCUCAAGUACCCUCGGUUUACAGCAAGAUGUUCAGAGGUCCUGCUUUAAUGAGGAGAUGAUCAUGCAAAUGGGAGCUACUAAGGCGCAUGGAACAGAUUGCUGUUUGGGAAAUUACACUUGCCCCCCACUAUCUUGUUUUCUGUCAUUUAUUUGCCUAACAAUCUUGACAGAGAUGCAGGGCAGAUGUUACUCCCAGCGCCCAGUUGGUAGUGCAGAUUCCGGAUGUAGCAGGACCUCUGUCCCCAUUUCUCUGAACUGCUUCUCUGUCUGUAUCUAGUAGAUUAGUUCCUUCUGAGGAACAAUGUUUUUCCACCAACAAAGCGCCUGCUUUGAACCAUACUUGAAAAGAAACUUUCAAAGGCGGCACCAGCCUCCCUGAACACCUUUUCCAAAGUGCUUUCCAAAGGGAGCCAUCUUCCCACCUCCCACCACCUCUCAGAUUCGCUUCUGAAGACCUGGCUCAAAAGCAGUGGCUUUGUGGGACCGAGAUGGAGGGAAGGAUGGAGGUCGGCCUCUGGAAACUACAGCCGCCUUAUCGAUAACGGAUUGCGCCAAGUUGCCAAAAGGAGUUUUCCAACAUACGAUCGAGUUCCAGUUUGUGAUUUGUGACCUGUCCCAAUUGUUGAAGUCACACUUGAUUUUUUUUUUUUUUUUUCCUUUUUUGGAACUGAUGUUUAGAGCUUGUUUGAGUUGGAUCCAAUGCUGUUUUAACAGCUGUUCUAAUCAGAAGUGCUGUCAAUUAUUAACCUUAAUGGUGGUUUUUCUUUCAAAAAUAUUUCUCUAAGCUCUCUUGAAAUGUCAAAAUUUGGCUUCUUGGUAGGAAGUCAUUUAGUGAAAUCACUUAAUGGCUGGGCAUCAGUUUCCCCAUCUGAAAAGUGGAGAUGUUGACAAGCGCCUUCUCCGCGGGGUUAUUGUGGAUGCACACAUGGCGAGUUGGGUGGGUGAUAUCAGCGGUCAUUACUGUUGUUAGGAGGGCUUCUGUUAAGCCAGCUUUCCAUUUCCAGGAACUUCCCCUCCCCCAAGCGCCACCCUCCAAAAAAUAAACAUUUCUUUAAAAUGUUGA